rnacentral:lncRNA from 1 species
GGCAGAUGCCCACUCUGCCAGGGAGAGCUGCGGUUUGGAUCAGCUCCUUGACCCGCUGAGCCACCACGGGCAGGAGACAUCCCUCUCAGAACCUCAUCAGAAACACUGGUGAGGACCACCUUCCCUGACUGAGCACAGUGGCUCAGGGAAGGUCCAGGAGGAGACCCCAGCAGCUCCCUUCAGCCCCGCCCUCAGGAGAACCUGGGGGUGGAGGGACUUCCUCAGCAGUGCCCCUGGACACCCCUCUGAGCUGGAGUGGGCCGCUGCUCAGGGCACGCUGGGUGUCCGCAGGUGCCGACCCACAGAGCGGCUGUGGUAAGUGCAGGAGUGGGGCACCUUCCUCAGGAGGGGUCUGUGUGCCUGGGACCAGUACUGUCCUCCAGCACCCAGGACGGAGCACCCAGGGAGGGGGCGAGGAAGGGUCCCGAGAAAGGGGCACUUGAGCCUCAGGCAGUCUCCUGGCCACACAGGGUCUG